rnacentral:rRNA from 1 species
ACGAACCGUACAAACGUUACUCGGAAUUACUGGGCUUAAAGGGUGCGUAGGCUGCGCGGAAAGUUGGGUGUGAAAGCCCUCGGCUCAACCGAGGAAUUGCAUUCAAAACUACCGUGCUCGAGGGAGACAGAGGUAAGCGGAACUCAAGGUGGAGCGGUGAAAUGCGUUGAUAUCUUGAGGAACACCGGUGGCGAAGGCGGCUUACUGGGUCUCUUCUGACGCUGAGGCACGAAAGCUAAGGUAGCAAACGGGAUUAGAUACCCCGGUAGUCUUAGCUGUAAACGAUGAGCACUUGAUUGGAGGGUCCUCCAUAGCCUUCCAGUCGUAGCGAAAGUGUUAAGUGCUCCGCCUGGGGAGUAUGGUCGCAAGGCUG